GAUGAACGCUGGCGGCGUGCCUAAUACAUGCAAGUCGAGCGAACGGACGAGAAGCUUGCUUCUCUGAUGUUAGCGGCGGACGGGUGAGUAACACGUGGAUAAUCUACCUAUAAGACUGGGAUAACUUCGGGAAACCGGAGCUAAUACCGGAUAAUAUUUUGAACCGCAUGGUUCAAAAGUGAAAGACGGUCUUGCUGUCACUUAUAGAUGGAUCCGCGCUGCAUUAGCUAGUUGGUAAGGUAACGGCUUACCAAGGCAACGAUGCAUAGCCGACCUGAGAGGGUGAUCGGCCACACUGGAACUGAGACACGGUCCAGACUCCUACGGGAGGCAGCAGUAGGGAAUCUUCCGCAAUGGGCGGAAGCCUGACGGAGCAACGCCGCGUGAGUGAUGAAGGUCUUCGGAUCGUAAAACUCUGUUAUUAGGGAAGAACAUAUGUGUAAGUAACUGUGCACAUCUUGACGGUACCUAAUCAGAAAGCCACGGCUAACUACGUG
rnacentral:rRNA from 1 species